rnacentral:rRNA from 1 species
GAUGAACGCUGGCGGCGUGCCUAAUACAUGCAAGUCGAGCGAACGGACGAGAAGCUUGCUUCUCUGAUGUUAGCGGCGGACGGGUGAGUAACACGUGGAUAACCUACCUAUAAGACUGGGAUAACUUCGGGAAACCGGAGCUAAUACCGGAUGAUAUUUUGAACCGCAUGGUUCAAAAGUGAAAGACGGUCUUGCUGUCACUUAUAGAUGGAUUCGCGCUGCAUUAGCUAGUUGGUAAGGUAACGGCUUACCAAGGCAACGAUGCAUAGCCGACCUGAGAGGGUGAUCGGCCACACUGGAACUGAGACACGGUCCAGACUACUACGGGAGGCAGCAGUAGGGAAUCUGCCGCAAUGGGCGAAAGCCUGACGGAGCAACGCCGCGUGAGUGAUGAAGGUCUUCGGAGCGUAAAAAUCUGUUAUUAGGGAAGAACAUAUGUGUAAGUAACUGUGCACAUCUUGACGGUACCUAAUCAGAAAGCCACGGCUAACUACGUG